rnacentral:rRNA from 1 species
ACGGGUGAGUAACGCGUGGGAAUCUACCCUUUUCUACGGAAUAACGCAUGGAAACGUGUGCUAAUACCGUAUGAGCCCUUCGGGGGAAAGAUUUAUCUGGAAAGGAUGAGCCCGCGUUGGAUUAGCUAGUUGGUGGGGUAAAGGCCUACCAAGGCGACGAUCCAUAGCUGGUCUGAGAGGAUGAUCAGCCACAUUGGGACUGAGACACGGCCCAAACUCCUACGGGAGGCAGCAGUGGGGAAUAUUGGACAAUGGGCGCAAGCCUGAUCCAGCCAUGCCGCGUGAGUGAUGAAGGCCCUAGGGUUGUAAAGCUCUUUCACCGGUGAAGAUAAUGACGGUAACCGGAGAAGAAGCCCCGGCUAACUUCGUGCCAGCAGCCGCGGUAAUACGAAGGGGGCUAGCGUUGUUCGGAAUUACUGGGCGUAAAGCGCACGUAGGCGGACAUUUAAGUCACGGGUGAAAUCCCAGAGCUCAACUCUGGAACUGCCUUUGAUACUGGGUGUCUAGAGUAUGGAAGAGGUGAGUGGAAUUCCGAGUGUAGAGGUGAAAUUCGUAGAUAUUCGGAGGAACACCAGUGGCGAAAGCGGCUCACUGGUCCAUUACUGACGCUGAGGUGCGAAAAGCUGGGGAGCAAACAGGAUUAGAUACCCUGGUAGUCCACGCCGUAAACAAUGAAUGUUAGCCGGCUGGCAGUUUACUGUUCGGUGGC